AUUGAACGCUGGCGGCAGGCCUAACACAUGCAAGUCGAACGAGUGGCGGACGGGUGAGUAAUGUCUGGGAAACUGCCUGAUGGAGGGGGAUAACUACUGGAAACGGUAGCUAAUACCGCAUACUGUGAGAUGGACCUGCGUGUUAUUAGCUAGUUUGUGAGGUAACGGCUCACCAAGGCGACGAUACAUCGCCGACCUGAGAGGGUGACCGGCCACACUGGGACUGAGACACGGCCCAGACUCCUACGGGAGGCAGCAGUGGGGAAUAUUGCACAAUGGGCGCAAGCCUGAUGCAGCCAUGCCGCGUGUAUGAAGAAGGCCUUCGGGUUGUAAAGUACUUUCAGCGGGGAGGCGUUACCCGCAGAAGAAGCACCGGCUAACUCCGUGCCAGCAGCCGCGGUAAUAC
rnacentral:rRNA from 1 species